AAGUCGUAACAAGGUUUCCGUAGGUGAACCUGCGGAAGGAUCAUUAACACGUAUCCAACGAUACAAACUAAGACGCAGAACCUAAGUUCCCCGUGUAUUAAACUUCGACGUCGUCGCGGAUUGAGUUGUAGUUGGGUCCCCGGGCUUGGAGAAGGAUUCGUCCUUUGAACGGUCCGGUGUGGCAUGCUCGAACCCGGCUACAUUCCUUUGAGAAUGAGACGAAGAGACCUAAUACUGGGCUAAUUUUACCCACCUCCUUAUUCCAACCACUUUGGGGGGGAGGCUGGGCCCCAUACCCUUUUUUCACCCUAUUUUACCCAUUUGACUAAUUUUCUAUAAUCGAAUUGGAGAAAUCCCUUUCGAUCACCUAAGAUUUAUCUUAACUAAGCACAACUCUUAGCAAUGGAUAUCUUGGUUCUC
rnacentral:misc_RNA from 1 species